ensembl:lncRNA
GUAUAUCUAUGGUCGGCACGUCUGGUAGCAUCUCUGGCUGCUGUUGACCUUGUUUUUGGAGUAAAACACGGUGGAAGCUGAAUUAGUGAGGAUGACUCCUGCUCCUGUCAUCUCUAAACUCCUCACACAUCUUUACCUGCACAUGAGGAAAAUCACUCCUGUAGAAUGCAGUGGUUCAUCAGAACCUCUGGGGAUGUCCUGUGGAUUCUGUGGAUCCUGUGGGUUGCAGGGUGGGUCCUACCUAGACCAGGCUGAUCCUGGACCAUCCCACAGAUGCUCAAUCAGAUCUGGAUGUGGGGAGUGUGGAACCCAGAUGUUCAGAGGGAGAUGAUGCCACAUCUGGUCCAGCUGAUGGAAGGUCUUGAAGUUCUCUGACUGGCCUCGACUGAAGAUGGUCGUCUCACUGGAUUUAAGAUGCACAAUGAGGGACGUCUGCAGCGACUGAGAAAGAGUCUCACCACAUCCUGACAUGAGGAAAAAGACUUAAUUGAAGACUGCAAUGAGAAAAACUAUCAGACAGCAGACGGCUGCAUUCAAGGUGAGCUCUGAACAUUUGAUCUGGAACAGGAAUUCAAUAACAGCAGCAUGAGCUUCAUUUCAGUCUGUCGCUGCUGAAUUCAUGGAUGAAUCAUCUGGCACUAGAGAAGAAGACCAUCAAACAUCCACGUCAGCUGAUGGAGGUCCAAGAGUCUCACCGAACAACCAACCUACAGAGUGAAGACCUUGAAUCUGAUUGGACGGCCUCCUAUUCAGCCACGUGUGAACAAAUGCCUCUAAGUUGAUUUGUUUUCUAAAAUAAAUCUAGUUUGAG